UAACGCGCCACGCCGCCUCUCCUCCUCCUCCCCAGCGCAUUUGUCGCCCACAGCUGUGCCUCCCACUGCAUGCACCGCCGCUUGCCGUUCCCUCCAGCACUUCUCACCCCAAGUACCCUCACUCUUCACCCCACGGAGCUCACUUCCCACGAUAACCAUCGGGGCGACGAUGCUCGCCUCAUUCAUCAUUCUAUGUGUUGGUCUCGGAAUGGACUGUUACUACGAGCCAGACUGCAAUGCGGAGGCCGCACUUAUCAUCACAGGAGGAAUACUGACUGGCUUUAGUACGAUCUUCCUCGUGGUGAUCAUCGUGCUGCUGUUCAAGAUGGGGGACGCCGCGCCCACCACAUCCUUUAUGCCCUCGCAGCCCUAUGCCAACUACGGGAGUCCGAUUGUGUCCACGAGCACCGUUCAAGCAGCGUCCCAUCCUGCACCUUAUGUUUUGCCAAGUAUGGGCUACCCUCAGUAUCAGCAACACCCACAGGCCAUGCCUCAGACAGCCGUCCCUCAGGUACCCUUGGCUCAGGAACCCAUGCCUCAGGCGCCCAUGCCUCACGCGCCCAUGCCUCAGGCGCCCAUGCCUCAGGCGCCCAUGCCUUUGAAACCGAGUUGUUAAUUAGCUAAAUGGCAAGUAAUAAUGAUGCUGCGUGAUUGCAACAUAACCAUCAAACACUGAUAUGAUAAGGUAGCCAGCGCUGCAUCACCACUUGAGGAACACUACUGGGAAACUCGGCAAUGUCAAGGGUUACCAGUGGAAACAAGUGCAACGCUUGGAAACCUUUACAAACUUGUACAAUUAGACACUUUAUAUACAGUAAGCCCAACUAGUGGUGUCACCCAGUCCAGUGAAUUUUAUGUCUGGAAAUCAAAUGUAAAUAUGGACCGAUUAAAAGGUCUACAAAGACAAAGAAGAACUGGUAUUAGGCAAAGCAGUUGCCAGAUAUCGUCUUAUUGUCUAAAAUAUUUUGUAAAAUAUGACCUCGCUACUUUGAAGAACCGCACUAAUACUGUGAGGAUUAUCAAUUGUACUAAUAGUGUGUGGGGCAGAAACUGUGACUCACCUGGUCUGAAUAAAAUCCUAGAUUGACUCUUCUCAAAAGUGAACCAAAACUUGUACAAACCUCACAAUGACUUAACCUGACCUGUCCGAUAAAACUGGUGUACUUCACUCAGCCUGACCGUCUCACCUCAUGUCCUUAGGUAAACUCACUAACCUCACGUAAUAUCUGACUAAGCAAUGAAAUGAAAUGCAAUACAACUGAACACGUGACAUGUUUAAAACACACACACACACACACACACACACACACACACACACACACACACACACACACACACACACGCACAUCACUGGAGUGAUGGUAGGAGGCAAUCUUCGCUAUAGAAACCUUCAAUGUGUAGAAUAAACAAGCACUGACAAACCACUUCACACAUGAGAUAACAACAUUUUACUGCUCCAUCAGAUAACACCCCUUAGUCGUACUUGCUGCUCUCUCAUCACCGUUAGCUCCCAGCCGCCUCUCCUCCCAAUGUACUCCUCGCAUCUUACACACAAGCAGAAGGCGCCGUAGGAGAAAGCUUAUAAAUAGGUGUCAUCUCUCCUUGGCCGCGUGUUUCGUGUCCUUUCACCCAGGCAGCGAAGGAACCACCGCGGCCAUGCAUGAAAACGUGUUGAUUCAUGGACGGAUGUAUAUCUCCACCAAGACACCUCCUUACCUGUUGACUGUUGCAGUCUUCAUGGGCAUCGCCUCCGGUAUCUGCCUGGGCAAGUGCAUCAACAAAACCUGCCUGAUCAUCGACGAAUUUUGCAAGAACGAUAGGAAGGGGUGCAUCAUCUCAGGCUACUGCUUCGCGGCGAUUGGAUCCAUCUCCCUGGUUGCCGCCAUAACGCUACAAUUCAUAAUCAUGUGGGCACAGAAGAGGAACGCCGAAGAAUCCGUUCAGCAAGGCGUUCGAACUGGUCACCAAGACAAUUACCCGAUAGAGGCCGUGGCGGGUGAGUACUCGUCGACAGAGCCGGAAAACCCUGCGCUAGUCCGGUUUGUGGUCAAGGAGCAGGCCCCGCCCAUCGCUUCCUACCCAGGGGAACAAGGGCAGCAGCAGCGGCCGCCCACUUCCUCCUCCUAGCGACUCCUGGGGUGAAGGAUGAAUACCUCAGAUACAUGUUACGUUAUGUCAGCCAACUUGUGCCAGCCAACUUACCAGCCAACUUAUGUCAGCCAACUUGUGCCAGCCAACUUAUGUCAGCCAACUUAUGUCAGCCAACUUGGUCCAGCAAACUUGUGUCGGCCAACUUGUGCCAGCCAAUUAUGCCAGCCCACUUGUGUCAGCCAACUUAUGUCAGCCAACUUAUGUCAGCUAACUUAUGUCACCCAACUUGUGUCAGCCAACUUGUGCCAGCCAACUUAUGUCAGCCAACUUGGUCCAGCCAACUUAUGUCAGCCAACUUAUGUGAGGUAACUUAUGUCAGCCAAUUAAUAUCAGCUAAUUUGUGCCAGCCAACUUAUGUCAGCUAACUCGAGUCUCAUGUAAGAUGAAACAUUUGGACAGUUGAUGGAAAACUUUAAAGGAAAAUAAAAGUGAUAAGUUUCA